ACAAUAUAAGGGCGGGGCUCCGGCACUGAAGGAGGGGUCUGGAAGCGCUGCGGGCAGGAGCAAUGAAGGGAAGAAAGGCUUCAACUGACCCCUCGACCUGAAGGCCCACAGCCGGGAACACCGGCAAGGAGAACACAAGAGAAUGCACGGGAAAACACAAGUCAAAAACAAUGCUCUAUGCAACUCAUUUUCAUCUAGCAUUACCUCUCCAAAACCUGAAUCUCCACAAGAAAGCCACACAGCAAUUAACCAGUGUUGCAAGAACUGCUUCUGUAAUAAAGGUGGGAAGACAAAUUGAUGCAACCCUCUUGAAAAGCAAUCUGGCAAUAUGAACCAAGAGCCAUGAAAAGGCUUAUGCUAUUAUAAUUAAAUGGCUGUAAUGUUGGCUGUAAAUAUGAAAUUUUCUUUCACACACCAAUGUUUUCAAGAAUGGCAUAUUCACAUGCAGUAUGUGUUUCCCCUUGGAAAUAAAAUGUAAAGGAAAACUAUGGAAAAAUAUACUUACUCUAGACAUUCUCUGCAUUGAUUUAUGACAGAUGAAAGAAGCAGUAAAGGAUGCUAACAAAGCUAUUUCUUUGGACAAUCUGAACCUGACGGAGUCUUACUCUGUCGCCCAGGCAGGAGUGCAAUGGCACAAUCUUGGCUCACCACAACCUCCGCCUCCUGGGUUCAAGUGACUCUCCUGCCUGGCCAUAGAAGCAAACACAAACAUAGAGGAAUUGGCUUUGGGCAGAUGGAAGGACCUCAGAGAAAAGAAACAAAGGAAAGAAAACUGGAUGGAUAAAGGUUUGUAGAAAUACUAUUCACAGGAAGCAAAUAGGAAUUCCUUAUCGCUAAACAGACACUAAGUCAAUUGGUAAAGAUCUUGCCAGCUGGUGCCUGGGUGCAUAGACUGCCUAUGGCUCUUGAAUUGCAUGCUGAAAACUUCAUAAUGAAACCAGAAAAUCACAGAAGCAUAAACACAGCUGCUUAUGCCUAUAAAAUGAGAAAAUUGAAGCCAACAGAAGUUAACUAACUUGCCUAAAAUAACACAGCUGUGGCAAAUUAGGACCAGAACCAAGGUCUCCUGACCUAAGUGCUACUCCCACCAUACUACAUGAUCUGCUGUUUAAAAUUUUGGUGAGCUUUAUAACAUAAAUAAAACUACAGAUGUGAAGGA
rnacentral:lncRNA from 1 species